rnacentral:rRNA from 1 species
GUAGGGAAUCUUCCGCAAUGGACGCAAGUCUGACGGAGCAACGCCGCGUGAGUGAUGAAGGUUUUCGGAUCGUAAAACUCUGUUGUUAGGGAAGAACAAGUAUCGGAGUCACUGCCGGUACCUUGACGGUACCUGACGAGAAAGCCACGGCUAACUACGUGCCAGCAGCCGCGGUAAUACGUAGGUGGCAAGCGUUGUCCGGAUUUAUUGGGCGUAAAGCGCGCGCAGGCGGUCUUUUAAGUCUGAUGUGAAAUCUUACAGCUUAACUGUAAGCGGUCAUUGGAAACUGGGAGACUUGAGUGCAGAAGAGGAGAGUGGAAUUCCAUGUGUAGCGGUGAAAUGCGUAGAGAUAUGGAGGAACACCAGUGGCGAAGGCGACUCUCUGGUCUGCAACUGACGCUGAGGCGCGAAAGCGUGGGGAUCAAACAGG